UUGUUCGUCGUCGAGAUCGUGUAUAAAUAUGCUCCACUGCCGUCCCUCCGAUCGCUGACACACGUCGUCCCUCCAAUCUUUCAGCCCAAUCGCUUCUGUAAUUAGAUACGUUAAUGGCAGCGGCAGCUGCGUCACGGUUUCUGAUGUUUGGUGCGGUAAAGGAUUAGGGUUCUCGACGGAUGCGGUGUCGAUGGAUCCUCCGAGGAGGUAAAGAUGGAUCUUCCGCCGUCGCGUCGCAAAAUCGACGUGGACAAGAACAGUUCAAACCAAACAGAGGUACUUACUUAUAUUACUCUAAACAGUGGCUUGAAUCGAUCGAUUUGGUGAUGCUGAUUAUCACCAGGAGACAAGCUUCUUCUCAGAGUUAGGGGAGCUCCGCUUGCUCUGAUUCAUGUCUCCUCUGAUCCUUUGCCUCACCUUAGUAUCAAAAACACACCAAUCUUUAGUCUCUCUCUCACUUUCUACAAAGAUCUCACCUUUUUCGAUUUUGGUUGGUGGAAAGUGACAUCGUUUUAAUGUUCUUGCAGGAGACAUCAUCUGCGCAAUCAACGGUACACUGCUGCUUCCAAUGGACAGAAGCUUCAAAACUAUAUAAUAAGCGUUUAUGGGGAAGCUCAAGAUGAUCACUAAACACAUGGAAGCUGAUAUUGAAGAGAGUCUGAUGUUCUAUCAGGCUUGCUAUUGAGUGGAUUUUUUCCAUGAUUUUUUUCCAAAGCCGGAAUUCCCCUAUUCCAUAUUAUAUCUGACUUCAUAAGAAAAGUGGACUUGAUGCCACUGGAUAUGCCAGUGAGAUGCAAUGGAUUGCAGGGUAUUUGGUAGUCAGUAAUGUGAAUAUGGAAGAAGGUGCCCGCUGAGUUGUUAAUAUCUCAAUCCUGCAAUUUUGCAAACCAAGUUUAACACCAAGGUGAAAAUUACCAGGGCCAGCCGACCAGAUCUUGGGAAGAAGAAAUCAGAAGUAAUACUCGCCCAAGUAUAGCAUCCGAGCUUCUUUACUGGAGCUUCCAGAAGAAAAGGGCAGGACGUACGAGGCCAUGGGUGUAGGCACUUAACAUGUGUUCUUCCUCGCAAAUGAUGCCAAUAUAUUAUUUGAGCUCUUGGUUAAAGGUGAAACUGCCCAAGGAAUGAUAAAAGCAAAAGACUUGGUUUAGGCAAAGUAUAUGCUAUUCAGAGAAAAGUUUACUCGGAGCCAUUUUGAAGAGAAAGUAUAUGAAGAAAGCUCUUUAAGAUAAUGGUUUCUCUUGCUGAUUCCAGACAGCAAAGAAAUAAAAGGCCCCACUACCAUCCUCUAAACCCCGCCAAAUCCGGAGGUGGAACACAGAAGAAGGUGAACAGCAUGGUUCUCUUCGAUCAGGAAACUAACAACAAGCUUCGGUCUGAAGCUCCUAUGUUCAAGUUGAUCAAUCAAUCCCUUCUAUUCUGCUGGCGUUUUCAUUUACUGGUUCUUUCCGAUGAGUGGAGUAGGAAGCUAAAGUGACAGGAGUCGUUCGACGACAAAACAGAGAGGUAUCUAAGGAGGAAGAGGAAGCGAGAGAAAAAAGUGAAAGGGGUCUUAGACCUCCUAAGCAAGAAUCUUCAAGCUUUGUGAAUGUUUUGGAACUGAUUUAGUUCACGGAGUCACAACUGCUGUCUGAAAUUGAGAAGCGUCUUGCACCACAAAACAUUACCCUAGACGUCAUUCACAGAUGUGACACCACCCUGCACAUUUAAGUAUCUAAGCUUUAUCUCCAUUUCUCCUGUUGGUAGUUUAUCAGUGAAUCCUUAACUUGAGACAGUACAAACCAGUUGGUAGUUUGUUCAGGACUUUCUUCAAAUAGUUCAAACCAGUUGGAAAAGUGCCCAUCAGCGACGGCCGUAAGCUCCAUCUCCUGAGUUUUCAUAGUACAUUCCAUGACGUUCAAGCAUAUGUGAUGUGUCGAUUCUAGAAGACGCCGGUUGUAAUGAUGUGAUCGCAGAAUACUGUAUCGAUCAGAUGCUUACCAAGGAGACGAAGACGACAACCAAGAUCAGUGAAAUUACCUAAACAAAAAAGCGGAGUAGGUUACAAACUCUAAUAAAUACAACUAACAAUGAUUUUUCUUUAUAUAUUAGUUACCCAUCAAAUAAAAGAGAAACAAACACAACCACACCAGGAGAUACAAGAGACAAUCCCAACAGACACAAAGACGGCAACAACAUCUCCACCUGCUCAUUCCUCUUAUCUUAUGAAAAUAGCUUACAUGCUCAAUAUCAACAAGCCAAUGCUAUUGUUUUCUUAUGAGAAAUACAUAUAUUCGUUUAAAAUCCAUUAAGGCCCAAAUACAAAUUGUCACUCAUUUUAUAGUUAUUUAUACAAGUCUUCAUGUAUUUGUUUUAAUGGUCUCGUAAAAGCAUCAAAUUUAAAAAUAAAAAAAAACAUAUAAUCAACAUAAUAAGAAUAAAAAAAAUUAUUACUUAAUACACACAACUAAACUGGAGAAAAAAUAUCCAGAAACAAAAGGUACUCUCAACAAUCUUAAUAUAAUUUAUGUAAUCUUAACAAUACAAGUAACAAAUUAAAAAGACAAAUAAACAAUAAGUCUCAGUGACACAUCAAGCAACACCACAAAUUAUAUCAAUCACAUUACUAACAUAAUUUAGUCCUUCAUGAGUGUAUAACAGUGUAUACACAGUUCAUCAACACAACUCUAACCGUAUAACAGUAAAAAACUUGAAAAACAAUGAUCAACCCAAAACGCAAAA